CUCCUACGGGAGGCAGCAGUGGGGAAUAUUGCACAAUGGGGGAAACCCUGAUGCAGCAACGCCGCGUGAGUGAAGAAGUAUUUCGGUAUGUAAAGCUCUAUCAGCAGGGAAGAAGAUGACGGUACCUGACCAAGAAGCCCCGGCUAACUACGUGCCAGCAGCCGCGGUAAUACGUAGGGGGCAAGCGUUAUCCGGAUUUACUGGGUGUAAAGGGAGCGUAGACGGCAAUGCAAGUCUGGAGUGAAAGGCGGGGGCCCAACCCCCGGACUGCUCUGGAAACUGUAUAGCUGGAGUGCAGGGGAGGG
rnacentral:rRNA from 1 species